rnacentral:lncRNA from 1 species
CAAGAAUUAAUUUUCAUCAUCAUCUUCCACCAUAUGUCGUGAGCAAUGGAGGCUUUCCCUCACCAUUACUAAUACAAAAAAGGUGUCGACCUGUGUCACUCCCCCAUCCAAGAAGUGAGCUAAAACUUAUGAAACUCCAAAGCAUUGUCUAAGCAUAGCGCACAAACUACUUCCAGCAUCUCCAUUGACAAAAUACUUGAAAAAAACAAGGCAUGAGCUAUUAGCCCACACACUUUUAAGCAUAAUGAUUCUCAUCACAUCUCAUUUAUCCAAGAGGCCAUGAAAACAUGCUCAAAGAUUCCAAAAGAAAAUUGACAUUUAAACACAUAAGAAUCAAUCUCAAGAAUCCAUUUAAGUUUGGAUUCAAGCCAAAACAAUGCCAAUCUCUGAUCUAUAAGACCAAACUUCAAAGUCUAUAAUUUCAACGAUCAAAUAACAAAUGAUGUACAAAUAAAAUUCAUGAAAAUCUGUAGAAACCUUUGGCGUUAUUUUAGACCACGUAAAAAGGACAGGCCUUGUUCAAUAAUCCCUUUAGAUUUUUAGGUUGGUUCAAUUACUAUACAAAUUUGUUGAUAUAAUCUAGACAUGUAAAGCACCUAGAAUACAACAUUUUAGCUCAAAUUAGUUACAUGUAUUACUAUUUCUAUGACCCAAUAUAGAGUUACAGAAAAUUGGUUUAUUGAGGGGAAACACCAACAACCUAAGCUUCUGAUUUUCUUUAAAAAUUCAAUACUACUUAGAAUAUUAUGAAAACUUCCAGAAUAUUAUUAGACACAUAAACGCACAACAUAUAAAAUUUUCAAGCCAUUUGGACAACUCUAUAAUAGGUUCUCACAGGAUUGAACUAAACAAAUCAAAAAUGCCUUUUCAAUUCACACAAAAACAGCUGAGCAUUGGUGAUUUAUUAAAAUUUAAACUGCUCAAUAUGUUGGGAUGAUAAUUCCCAGAACAUAAUUACACAUAUAACUCUCUGAUAUCAUUAAGCUAAUGUUUCAUAAGAUCAAACACAAGUGAACAGUUCUCUCAAGGGGUUUGCGGCUAAAGCUGUAGAGUUUAAUAUCUCAAAAUUUUGGCUCAUUUCGACGCCAUUAGAUUAUUCGUUUAUAACACCAAACAUGGUACAUACACAGUUUCUGAUAAAUUCCAACAGCAACUGACCAAUUUGAUGAAUCCAUUAUAAAUCAACUAUUAGUUCAAUUCAUUCCAAAAUGUCCAGACUCCAAAGAUACAAUACUCAAAAUUUCAAGCAAAUCAAGCAUCAUUUAGUCAUAUUUCGAAACAAUCAAAGUUAUGAUAACAGUCCACCAAUCUUUAAAUUUUCUGCAGAACCAAUAAACUAUUUAUCUUCUUUUGAGUUCAAUAAUCAAUUUUCUAACAAAAUUAGACAUGUAAAACCAAUAACAACCUCACUUUUCAGUUUUGAAAUAACAAAACAUCAAUUGCACAAAGUUACCUACCUAAAUCACAAGCUUUAACUCCCAAGCCUCUUAAUAAAGCUUUCUGUCCCUUCGCAAGUGUAACCCUGACAUUACCAAAAAGGCUACCCAAAAUCAAAUAAAAAAUAAAAAAAAGAUAAUCAAUCACACUUCCAUGA